GUGACUUACACGGGUCAGUAGAUAUCCCGUACAAUCUAUACCUUUGAAUAGUAUUCAUCAAUCUAAAUAUAGUAGAUACACACCGGUUGUGUUGUUACAUUGACACUCAGUUGAAUAGAGUUAUAGAAAAAACCUCCGUACAGCAGAGAUAAAAAUACCAAAAUGUCGGCGAUAUAUACAUUAGAAAAUCCAGUGUUUAGAGAUUUUGCUUUCCAUAGUACAGUUGUAAUGUUAAAAACAUUAUCUAUGGGUCCUAUAACGUUAUAUUACCGUGUACGCAAUAAGGCAUAUUGCAAUAAGGAAGACACGGUUUGGGUGGGAGAAAAAUGGGCAGUACCCGUACUAGAUGACGAGGAUGUUGAAAGAUCACGCAGGUGUCAUCUGAAUGACUUAGAAAAUAUCGUACCAUAUUUUAUGAUAGGUA